rnacentral:rRNA from 1 species
AUGGAUCCAUCUAUCAAGGAUUAUUUUGAGAAAAUCCUCUCCCGCAUGGAGGAAAUCCGAGUCGAGCUUCGCAACAGCACGGACGCCAUCAGGUCCAACAACGCCAAGCUUGACGGCAUGAAUGUCACUGCUCUGCAGCAGGAGCGCGCCCCCUCUUCGGCGCCGCUCGGUGAGGAAGGACUCGAUUCGGCUUCUUCAUCCACUACCCCAACCCCACUGGAUACUCCCGUCGCGCCCCAUAGCCGCCUCGCAGCCAUGGCGCUGACCCCAUCAUCGACCACCGACGCGAUCUUCUCUGGUGGUGACGAUAAGUUCGUCGGCUCCGCCACCCCUGCGACGACCAUCACCGCGCCUGCAGUCCUCCCCGACACCUAUUCACCAGCUGCAAUGAAGCACAAGGUCGUUGAGGUCCUCUGUGACUGGUCUCCUGACUGCAUCGUCAUCUCGCCCAGGACCUGUUCGACAGAAUGUUCGAACCAAGUCGGAGCCAAGUCGCUUCCGCCUCCACUCACGACGGCAUCACUACUCCCAAAAGCCACAUGUGCGCUCGUCGCCGACCUCGUUCAUCCUGCUACCAACGCUGUAGCUGCGAUGCAGCCAUUCCUGGACCAUGAGCUGGACGUCUUACCGCGCACAAGGCAUCAGGGGCUGCUGCUACGGCCGAUGCCGUGGCCAUCGUUUUGGAUGGAGUCUGUAGAGGGAAACGAGAAGAAUUUUUCUGGUGAUCUAAAGCCCCCGAGGGAAUCCUGGAGGUAUUUGCAAAUUGUACAGCGGAAACCAUGUCAGUCUGAGCAGGAAUGGAGUUUAUCUAUUUCAACUGAGCUACAAGGUCAUGACAUACCGGGCGUGGACCGUGAGCUCCAAACAAAGGCACGACCACUGUUCAGGUUCAGUCAAGACAAUAUUCACCUGAAGCUGUCAGGGCCAUCUGCUGCUAUUUGUGUAUUCUGUACAGUUCUCUUUGGCAAUCAAUCAAUGAUGCUACAUGACGGGUCAAUAGAAGGCAUGCAACUGUCCAAGUCUGUUGACCUCCGGGAUGCAACUCUUUCAAGCACGGAUUAUGUGAUACUGAACUUGGUCCAGUCUGGAAAACCACUUGUUGCCAACAGUCAGUUUUGGGAGUUAAUUGCAUGUUGGUACCACACUUGCGCACCUACUCACGAAUCAGUACCAUUAGUCACUUUUUUUGCCAUGCAGUGCCAAUUCUAA